UACAGAGGGGGCAAGCGUUGUUCGGAAUCACUGGGCUUAAAGGGCGCGUAGGCGGGCUACCAAGUCUGUGGUGAAAUCCUCCAGCUCAACUGGAGAACGGCCGUGGAUACUGGGAGCCUCGAGGGAGAUAGGGGCAGGCGGAACUGAUGGUGGAGCGGUGAAAUGCGUUGAUAUCAUCAGGAACUCCGGUGGCGAAGGCGGCCUGCUGGAUCUCAUCUGACGCUGAGGCGCGAAAGCCAGGGGAGCAAACAGG
rnacentral:rRNA from 1 species